UAUAUAUAUAUAUGUGUAUAUAUAUAUGUAUAUAUAUAUAUAUAUAUAUAUGUAUAUAUAUGUAUAUAUAUAUAUAUAUAUGUAUAUAUAUGUAUAUAUAUGUAUAUAACCCUAUUACCUUAGGUGCCACAUUUCAUUAAUUGACUCAGGACUCAGCAAUGGGGCUGUUUGUGGAGUAAGUGUUGUGUUUUUGCAACAUUAAAACAAAUCCCUCCAAAUCAUAUGUAUUUUGUUUUAAUUAUUAAAGUUUUCUAUCACUAAACAUCUUUAGAAUAAAGGACCAAAAUACUACAGGUCAAGUAGUUGGAAAUUGCUGAAAUUCCAAAUGUCCAAAACAGACGACCCCACGGUGGGAGACAGCCAUGUUUGAGCUUGGACUGUGGUAUGUCUUAAAGUAUUAAUAUUUCUCACCAAAAAUUUCACAACUGUGGGCCUAUAGUAUACUGUACUAUAUGCUAUAGUAUAGUAUAGGGAGGGGAAUUUCACUCGUAUAUCUGAGUGCUUUACAGAUGAAUCAGUGUGUCAAGACAGUUUGAGCUAUGAGAUCCUGAACACCAAGGGAGACAAUAUAUUUUGGGUUUUCUUAUAUAUAAAUUCAAAUAUAUUGCUGGGUGUACAUACAGUAGUACUUGGGAUGACAUUAUUGAUGUUAGCUGUUGCCUUUUAUUUGUAGGGUUUCUUUUUGUUCAAAUGUCAGUUUUAGUGCACAAGAUGUCCAAAACAGCUGCUGCCUGUGAAAAGAGAACACAUCCUGCUUGUAGGUAAAAACACUAAACAGAAGCAUUAUGUGCUCUGCACAUUUGCUCUACCACUGCCAACUGUAAUAAUGUUUUCAACUUUUAACAAAACACUGGGUUGUGGCAGGGCAUUUUUUUAAUUCCUCAAUCAGUGUGCUGUUGUCUGUGUAAAAUGUAUGAUCUGUGCAAUCAAAGGGCUCCUUCAAAUAUAUAACCAAAACAUUCACACACAUAAUAUACAAAUAUUAUUCCUGAUAUUGACUUAUUUGUUUGACAUUUAUAACUUAAAGGUUAAAGAUAUGUGAUCUGAGCAUGACUGAUGCAGAUAACCCCUCCACAGAUCUACAGAUUAAUUUCACCCACACCACAGCAGGGUAUGAGCUGGCACCUGAACUACUUUUUGCAUGUACUGUAAAUGCACUCAUUUCUCCUUCUCUCCAGGAGAUUCCUAAAUAUACACACACAGGUUUUAGUGGCCAACACAACUGAUCAAAUAUAACUUAUGCAUUUUUCUAACUGCAUGUGAAUUGUUAUUACCUCUGUAACUAUCCAGGUGUGUUGAUUAACAUGUCAAGGGAACUGUGUAAUGAAGGCUGCCAAAAUGGAAAAAUAAGAUACUGGUAUUAGUAGUGGUAAUAAUGUGAAAUAUGCUUGCAUACCUUAAGUUUUUUUCUGUAGUUAUUCUUGGUUUAUGGCGAUGAGUGGUUGGUUGACCGGUGAGCUUAGCAGCAAAAUCAAGAGUACCGCAAAAGCCCUAUUACGUAAUCACGCUACGCACCAACAGUCUAAAGAAUUCCAAAGAAUGCAGCGUCUCACACAGUUGUGAUGUACUCUCUGGUUGUUGUUGGAAUCAAUCCGUGAUCCUUUCUCAGAAAUGAUCAAGAGUCGGCCAUGUUUUUUCCUCAGCGUCUACAAAAGCUUUAGUCUCAUGUGAUGUUGUUACAGAACACAUUAACACAGAAACAGGGAUUGCAGUGAAAUGAGAAAGAUACCAAUUACUGCUGCUCAAUAAAUAAAGUCCAGAUCAAAAACACUUUUAAAUGAAAAACAAAUGAGUGUCAUCAUUGAUUAAUUUUACACACAUCACAGCCCACUUUAUAUGUUGAUUAAACCAAACCUUGUGGAUCACAUCAUGCCAUAAAAAAAGCAUCUGCCAUUUAUUCACAGGACAAUUAUCCAAAUAUGUUAGAAUCUAGAGUUUAUCAAAACAAAUGUAGUGACAAGAAAUAAUAACAUGAAGCUUUGUUGUACGUGCAACUGACAGCUUUAUUUUUUUGUAUUGUUCCACUGCUUUACAAAUGUUUAUGAAAUGAAAAUGUAUAAAAUCUGUAUAGUAUUUGUAAAAAAAUAAGUGAUGAACUUGAACAUUUCUGCUUUCUACCCACUGGUUGUAUGAAAAUUAAAAAAAAAAUAUAUAUAGCUGUAUUUACUUUGUAGCACAAGUACUAGUACCUUUUAGAUUUUGUACCAACAGAAAGCAAAAACCCUGUUUUGUACAUUUAAUUUCAUUUAAAUUCUCUUAAAUAUUUGCCUGAAAUUACAAUGAAACUGCUGAAGAAUUUUGUAAGAAUCACUGAAUAAAGUAACGAGGACAAGGUCA